rnacentral:pre_miRNA from 1 species
UCUCAGGGAGGAGCAAAGGAAGUGGUUUCUUGAGAUGGAAUCUACUCCUGGGGGAGACGCUGUGAA